UACGUAGGGGGGCUAGCGUUGUCCGGAUUUAUUGGGCGUAAAGAGCGUGUAGGCGGCCAGGUAGGUCUGGUGUGAAAACUCGAGGCUUAACCUCGAGAUGUCAUCGGAAACCAUUUGGCUAGAGUCCGGAAGAGGAGAGUGGAAUUCCUGGUGUAGCGGUGAAAUGCGCAGAUAUCAGGAAGAACACCAAUGGCGAAAGCAGCUCUCUGGGGACGGUACUUGACGCUGAGACGCGAAAGCGUGGGGAGCGAACAGG
rnacentral:rRNA from 1 species